GACGGAGGAUGCAAGCGUUAUCCGGAAUUAUUGGGCGUAAAGCGUCCGCAGGUGGUUAUACAAGUCUGCCGUUAAAGCGUGGGGCUUAACUCCAUAAGGGCGGUGGAAACUGUAGGACUAGAGUGAGGUAGGGGUAGAGGGAAUUCCCGGUGUAGCGGUGAAAUGCGUAGAUAUCGGGAAGAACACCAGUGGCGAAAGCGCUCUACUGGGCCUUAACUGACACUGAGGGACGAAAGCUAGGGGAGCGAAAGGGAUUAGAUACCCCCGUAGUCC
rnacentral:rRNA from 1 species